CCUACGGGAGGCUGCAGUGGGGAAUAUUGGGCAAUGGGCGCAAGCCUGACCCAGCAACGCCGCGUGAAGGAAGAAGGCCUUCGGGUUGUAAACUUCUUUUGUCAGGGAUGAAGAAAGUGACGGUACCUGAGGAAUAAGCCACGGCUAACUACGUGCCAGCAGCCGCCGUGAGACGUAGGUGGCAAGUGUUAUCCGGAUUUACUGGGUGUAAAGGGCGUGUAGGCGGGAAAGCAAGUCAGAUGUGAAAACCAUGGGCUCAACCUGGGGCCUGCAUUUGAAACUGUUUGUCUUGAGUACGGGAGAGGCAGACGGAAUUCCUGGUGUAGCGGUGAAAUGCGUAGAUAUUAGGAAGAACACCAGUGGCGAAGGCGGUCUGCUGGACAGCAACUGACGCUGAGGCGCGAAAGCGUGGGGAGCAAACAGGAUUAGAUACCCUUGUAGUC
rnacentral:rRNA from 1 species